rnacentral:ncRNA from 12 species
GGGUGCAGCAAACUUGUUGCAGGAAUCUGAAAGGUCGGGCCGCCUUUUA